rnacentral:lncRNA from 1 species
GGUCCAACUGCUUGGCAUCAGACUAGGGUGACUUGUGGAAGUUGGUUGACUGGCAGCUCGGAAGGUAGGAAGCUAGGCGGAGAUGGGGAGCAGUAGGAGCUGGGCUGGGUGGGACGGGAAGUGUGAGACAUUGAGUACUGUGGGGUCAGGUAUAGAACAGGUUGGGUACUCUAGUGUGAUGUAGUGGAGCAAACAUUAGUGUCUUGGUUAGGUUUUCCAUUGCUGUGAACAGACACCAUGACACAAGACAACUUUUACAAAUGACGGCGUUUAAUGGGGGCUGGCUUACAGUUUCAGAGCUUCAGUCCAUUAUCAUCAUGGUGGAAAGCAUGGCAGCAUCCAGGCAGGCAUGGCACUGGAGAAGUGGAGAGUCCUACAUCCUGAUAUGAAGGCAGCCAGGAGAAGACUAAUGGUCUGAAAGCCCACCCACCCCUGCAGUGACACACUUCCUCCAACUAGGCCAUGCCUCCUAAGAGUGUCACUCCCUAUGGGCCAAGCAUAUUCAAGCUACCAUAACUAGGGUGUGGGGUGGGUGUGGGUGCGGGAUGUUCUGAAUGGCUCGUGGGAUGUCCUUCCCACUGAUGGGAUCAUGUGAGUGUGUGUUGUGUCUGACCAGUAGAUCACAACCUGGGUUCUAGCCU